rnacentral:rRNA from 1 species
AACGAACGCUGGCGGCAUGCCUAACACAUGCAAGUCGAACGAGACCUUCGGGUCUAGUGGCGCACGGGUGCGUAACGCGUGGGAACCUGCCCUUAGGUUCGGAAUAACUCCCCGAAAGGGGUGCUAAUACCGGAUAAUGUCUUCGGACCAAAGAUUUAUCGCCUUUGGAUGGGCCCGCGUUGGAUUAGCUAGUUGGUAGGGUAAAAGCCUACCAAGGCGACGAUCCAUAGCUGGUCUGAGAGGAUGAUCAGCCACACUGGGACUGAGACACGGCCCAGACUCGUACGGGAGGGAGCAGUGGGGAAUAUUGGACAAUGGGGGAAAGCCUGAUCCAGCAAUGCCGGGUGAGUGAUGAAGGCCUUAGGGUUGUAAAGCUCUUUUACCCGGGAUGAUAAUGACAGUACCGGGAGAAUAAGCUCCGGCUAACUCCGUG